rnacentral:rRNA from 1 species
UACAGAGGGGGCAAGCGUUGUUCGGAAUUACUGGGCGUAAAGGGCGCGUAGGCGGCCUUCUAAGUCGAACGUGAAAUCCCUGGGCUCAACCCAGGAACUGCGUCCGAUACUGGAAGGCUUGAAUCCGGGAGAGGGAUGCGGAAUUCCAGGUGUAGCGGUGAAAUGCGUAGAUAUCUGAAGGAACACCGGUGGCGAAGGCGGCAUCCUGGACCGGUAUUGACGCUGAGGCGCGAAAGCCAGGGGAGCAAACGGG